AGAGUUUGAUCCUGUCUCAGGAUGAACGCUGGCGACAUGCUUACCACAUACAAGUCGAAUGGGAAACACGGGAAAUGGUGUUUCCAGUGGCAGAAAUGUGAGUAAAGCCUAAGAACCUACCCUCGGGAGGGGAACAACAGCUGUAAAUAGCUGCUACUACCCCGUAGGCUGAGAAAAAAAAAGAGGAAUCCACCCGAGGAGGGGCUCACAUCUGAUUAGCUAGUUGGUGAGGCAAUAGCUUACCAAGUAGAUAAUCAGUAGCUGGUCCGAGAGGAUGAUCAUCCAUACUGGGAUUGAGGCAUGACCCAGACUCCUACGAGAGGCAGCAGUAGGGAAUUUUCUGCAAUGGGCAAAAGCCUAAUGGAGCAAUGCCGCGUGUCGGUAGAAGGCCCAUGGGUCGUGAACUUCUUUUCCCAGAGAAGAAAAAAUGAUGGUAUCUGGGGAAUAAGCAUCAUCUAACUCUAUUCCAGAAGUCGUGGUAAUACAGAUGAUGCAAGUGUUAUCCAGAAUAAUUGAGCGUAAAGCGUCUGUAGGUGGCUUUUUAAGUCCAUCAUCAAAUCCUAUGGUUCAAACCUGGACAGGCGGUGGAAGCUACGAAGCUGGAGUAUGGUAGAGGCAGAGGGAAUUUCUAGUAGAGCGGUGAAAUGCGUAGAGAUCAGAAAUAACACCAAUGGCGAAAGCACUCUACUGACACUGAGAGAUGAAAUCUAAGAGAGCAAAUGGGAUUAGAUACCGCAGUAUUCCUAGCCAUAAAUGAUGGAUACUAGGUGCUGUGCGUGUCGACCCGUGCAGUGCUGUAGCUAACACGUUAAGUAUCCCACCUGGGGAGUACGUUCGCAAAAAUGAAACUCAAAGGAAAUGAUGGGGGACCGCACAAGUGGUGGAGAAUAUGGUUUAAUUUGAUGCAAAGAGAAGAACCUUACUAGGGCUUGACAUGCCGCGAAUCCUCUUGAAAGAGAGGGGUGCCUUCGAGAACGCGGACAUAGGUGGUGCAUGGCUAUCGUCAUCUCAUGCCGUAAGGUGUUGGGUUAAGUCCCGCAACAAGUGGAACCCUCGUGUUUAGUUGGCAUCAUUGAGUUUGGAACCCUAAACAGGCUGCCGAUGAUGAGCCGGAGGAAGGUGAGGAUGACGUCAAGUUAUCAUGCCCCUUAUUCCUUGGGUGACACAGGUGCUACAAUGGCUGGGAUAAAGGGUCGCUAUCCUCAUUUUGGAUUGUAGGCAACAACUCGCCUGUAUAAAGUUGGAAUUACUAGUAAUCGCCGGUCAGCCAUACGGCAGUGAAUUCGUUCCCGGGCCUUGUACACACUGCUCGUCACACUAUAGGAGUUGGCCAUGCCCAAAGUCAUUACCUUGACCGCAAGGAGGGGGAUGUUGAAGGCAGAGCUAGUUACUGGAGUGAAGUUAUUAGAAGGUAGUCAUACUAGAAGUUGCGGCUG
rnacentral:rRNA from 1 species